GAACAAAUCGGGGACAUCCAAUAAAAUUGGAACGAUACAGAGAAGAUUAGUAUGGCCCCUCUGCGCAAGGAUGACACGCACGAAUCGAGAAAUGUCCAAAUUUUUU